rnacentral:lncRNA from 8 species
AUGUCAGACAACAGCAAGAGCGUGAAAUGGGAGGAUUCCCCGGAUGAUCAAAAUAAAGUUGUGGAGAAUAUGAAGGAUGAAACAGAGACACAUGAGACCAACAAGAACAGGACAGGAGGCAAGGCUAAACGUAAGUCCAGUGGCAGUGCCAAGAAGACUUCCGUGGAGGAGGACAGCAGCAUUGGUGCAGAGUCUUCUCAGACACCCGGGUGUGGUUUCCGGGAAAGGGGAUCUAUCAUUGAGCAGCUGGAGAAGGAGGCUCAGAGGACUCUAAUGCCUUCU